UACAGAGACCUCAAGCGUUAUCCGGAAUCAUUGGGCGUAAAGCGUACCGAUAGGUGGUUUACCAAGUCAGAAGUGAAAUCUCCGAGCUCAACUCGGAAUCUGUCUUUUGAAACUGGUAGACUAGAGGGGCAAAGAGGAAGCUGGAACGAGCGGUGUAGUAGUGAAAUGCGUUGAUAUCGCUCGGAACACCAAUAGCGAAGGCGGGCUUCUGGGUGCCACCUGACACUGCUAGGACGAAAGCGUGGGGAGCGAAUGGG
rnacentral:rRNA from 1 species